AUCAUCAUUUUUUUUAGGAAUAAAGGAUUGCUCUGUAUAGAAAAGCCUAUCAAUAAUCUGAUUUGACUAAAGACUUAAAACUUAGUGCUUUGUGGUAGACAACCUUGUUUCAGUUUUUGCUUUUACUUUCUUUUGCAUUAUGUUUAGGUUAAUCAAGGCUUGCUUCGUAUCUUUUGUAGAGAUUUGAAGGAAAUAUUGGCUA
rnacentral:lncRNA from 1 species